rnacentral:misc_RNA from 1 species
GGCGCAGCGCUGCCUCGCGCGCUCAACACAGCACGUGGAUCGAGAAGGUUCUGCAACUGUACCAAAUCUGCAAAUUGAAUCAUGGUCUCAUGAUGGUCGGACCAUCUGGAAGUGGAAAGUCUACUGCUUGGCGUGUACUACUCAAGGCUUUAGAACGGUACGAAGGUGUGGAAGGCGUUGCACACGUUAUCGAUCCAAAGGCUAUGUCGAAAGAAACAUUGUAUGGUGUAUUGGAUCCUAACACUCGUGAAUGGACAGAUGGGUUGUUUACGCAUAUACUAAGGAAAAUCAUCGACAAUGUUCGCGGUGAGAUCAACAAGCGACAAUGGAUCAUCUUCGAUGGUGACGUGGACCCUGAGUGGGUUGAAAACUUGAACUCUGUGCUGGAUGACAAUAAGCUUCUCACUUUGCCCAACGGCGAGCGGCUCUCUCUACCACCGAACGUGCGAGUCAUGUUUGAGGUGCAAGAUUUAAAAUAUGCCACGUUGGCCACAGUAUCUCGUUGCGGCAUGGUAUGGUUCUCGCAGGAUGUGCUGUCAACCGAAAUGAUCUUUGAAAAUUAUCUACUACGAUUAAGGAAUAUUCCUUUGGAGGAUGGUGAGGAGGACUCGUUCAGCAUUGUAAUGGCGGCGCCCACCACCGGAGGAGACCAGAACGCGACUGAAAAUAUCUUGUCACCAGCACUACAGACUCAACGCGACGUAGCCGCGUUCCUGCAGCCUCUGUUCUACGGCGACGGCUUGGUGGUGAAGUGCUUGGAGCGCGCGGCCAGCCUCGACCACAUCAUGGACUUCACCAGGCACCGGGCCCUGUCGUCUCUGCACUCUAUGCUCAACCGUGGCGUCAGGAAUAUUCUGGCCUACAAUAGACAACACCCUGAUUUUCCUAUUACGAACGAACAAUUAGAGGCAUAUGUACCGAAAUGGUUGGUCUAUUCUCUGCUAUGGUCAUUCGCUGGUGACGCCAAACUCAAGGAUCGUAAUGAAUUGGGUGACUUUAUAAGAUCAGCUAGUACUAUGCAACUACCUAACUGCGGGGCAAAUCAGCACAUCAUUGACUUUGAGGUGUCGAUAACUGGCGAGUGGGUGCCGUGGUCGGCGAAGGUGCCUCAGAUCGAGGUGGAGACGCACAAGGUGGCGGCGCCCGACAUCGUGGUGCCCACGCUCGACACCGUGCGACACGAGGCGCUGCUCUACACGUGGCUCGCCGAACACAAACCACUCGUCCUCUGUGGGCCGCCCGGUUCCGGUAAGACCAUGACCCUGUUCUCUGCGCUGCGAGCUCUACCGGACAUGGAGGUGGUGGGGCUCAACUUCUCGUCAGCGACCACUCCCGAACUGCUGCUCAAGACCUUCGACCAUUACUGCGAGUAUCGGAAAACUCCCAAUGGAGUCGUUCUGGCGCCUGUUCAGCUCGGAAAAUGGCUGGUAUUAUUCUGCGAUGAGAUCAACUUGCCGGACAUGGAUCAGUACGGCACACAGCGCGUCAUCUCGUUCUUACGACAGCUACUUGAGCACAAAGGAUUCUACAGAGCAAGUGAUCACUCGUGGGUCCACCUGGAACGCAUCCAGUUCGUGGGCGCGUGCAACCCGCCCACCGACCCCGGCCGCAAGCCGCUGUCGCACCGCCUGCUGCGGCAUGUGCCCGUCAUUUACGUCGACUAUCCCGGAGAGACUUCUUUGGAACAGAUUUACGGAACGUUCACCCGCGCGAUGCUGCGGAUGCAGCCGUCAUUGCGCGGAUACGCGGAGCCGCUGACGCAGGCGAUGGUGAAGCUGUACCUCGCGUCGCAGGAGCGGUUCACGCAGGACAUGCAGCCGCACUACGUGUACUCGCCCAGGGAGAUGACCAGAUGGGUGCGCGGCAUCUGCGAGGCUAUCAGACCUCUAGACAACUUGAGCAUUGAAGGUUUGGUAAGACUGUGGGCGCACGAAGCGUUGCGCCUGUUCCAAGAUCGUCUGGUUGAGGAUGUGGAGAGGCAGUGGACUGACGAGAACAUCGACAAUGUUGCUAUGAGAUUCUUCCCAGGCAUCAACAGAGAGCAAGCACUGGCCCGACCAAUCCUCUACAGUAACUGGCUAAGUAAAGACUAUGUACCAGUUCAAAGGGAUCAAUUACGUGAAUACGUCAAGGCUAGAUUGAAGGUAUUCUACGAAGAAGAGUUGGACGUUCCAUUGGUCCUGUUCGACGAAGUGCUGGAACAUGUGCUAAGAAUCGACCGCAUCUUCCGUCAACCUCAAGGACACCUGUUGCUCAUCGGAGUGUCCGGGGCUGGGAAGACUACUCUCAGCAGAUUCGUUGCGUGGAUGAACGGCCUUAGCAUCUUCCAGAUCAAAGUCCACAACAAAUACACCGGAGCGGACUUCGACGAAGAUCUGCGGUCGGUGCUCCGUCGCGCCGGCUGUAGGGACGAAAAGGUGGCCUUCAUUCUGGACGAGUCCAACGUACUGGACAGCGGCUUCUUGGAGAGAAUGAAUACGCUCCUGGCUAACGGAGAGGUGCCUGGAUUGUUUGAAGGUGACGAGUUUGCAGCUCUCAUGACUCAAUGCAAAGAAGGCGCUCAAAGAGAAGGCUUGAUGUUGGACUCUAACGACGAGCUAUAUAAAUGGUUUACGGGCCAAGUGAUGCGCAACCUGCACGUAGUGUUCACCAUGAACCCGUCGUCCGAAGGGCUGAAGGACCGCGCGGCCACCUCGCCCGCUCUCUUCAACCGUUGCGUGCUCAAUUGGUUCGGCGAUUGGAGCGAUGGGGCGCUAUUCCAGGUCGGCAAAGAGUUCACGACCCGCAUGGACCUGGACUGGUCGGAGUACGUCCCGCCGGAGGAGUUCCCGGCGGCGUGCGGCGAGGUGGGCGCGCGCCCGUCGCACCGCGGCGCCGUCGUCAACGCGUGCGUGUACGUGCACCAGACGCUGCACCGCGCCAACGCGCGCCUCGCCAAGCGCGCCAACCGCACCAUGGCCAUCACGCCGAGACACUAUCUGGACUUUAUCCAGCAAAUGGUGAAACUGUACUCGGAGAAACGCGCGGACCUCGAAGAGCAACAACUGCAUUUGAACGUCGGUCUCGGGAAGAUUGCAGAAACUGUCGAGCAAGUGGAGGAAAUGCAGAAGAGUCUUGCUGUUAAAUCCCAGGAAUUGCAAGCAAAGAACGAAGCCGCCAACGCUAAACUACGUCAAAUGGUCAAAGAUCAACAGGAGGCUGAAAAGAAAAAAGUUGAAAGCCAAGAGAUUCAGGUUGCUUUAGAACAACAAACGAAAGAAAUAGAAGCGAAACGCAAGGACGUAAUGGCUGACUUGGCACAAGUCGAACCGGCUGUCAUCGAGGCGCAAAACGCGGUCAAAUCCAUUAAGAAGCAGCACCUGGUCGAGGUGCGCUCCAUGGGCAAUCCGCCCGCCAUCGUCAAGGUGGCGCUCGAGUCCAUCUGCCUGCUGCUCGGCGAGAACGCGACCGACUGGAAGGCCAUCCGCGCCGUCAUCAUGCGCGAGAACUUCAUCAACAGCAUCGUGUCCAACUUCUCCACCGAGGACAUCACUGACGAUGUCCGCGAAAAGAUGAAGACGCGUUACCUAAGUAACCCGGAUUACAACUUCGAAAAAGUGAACAGAGCCAGUAUGGCCUGUGGGCCUAUGGUGAAGUGGGCUAUUGCUCAGAUUGAAUAUGCGGAUAUGUUAAAACGCGUGGAGCCCCUGCGUAAUGAGCUUAAGGCUUUAGAAGAUCAGGCGCAAAGCAACGUAACGGCUGGCAAUGGAGUGCGCGAUCUGAUAGCCCAGUUGGAGAAGUCCAUUGCUUCAUACAAAGAGGAAUACGCGCAACUCAUCAGCCAGGCGCAGGCUAUCAAAACUGAUCUUGAGAAUGUUCAGGCUAAGGUGGAUAGAUCUAUAGCGCUACUGAAGAGUUUAGUGAUUGAACGUGAGCGAUGGGAAGCCAGCUCAGAGGCGUUCCGUUCACAGAUGAGCACUAUAGUCGGAGACGUGCUACUGUCUGCCGCAUUUAUAGCCUAUGGCGGAUACUUUGAUCAGCAUUAUCGCCAAAAUCUAUUCUCAACGUGGACCACCCACUUGGCGGCCGCUAACAUAAAGUUCCGCGCAGACAUCGCUCGCACGGAGUACCUCAGCAACCCUGACGAGCGGCUGCGCUGGCAAGCGAACGCUCUACCCACUGACGAGCUGUGCGUCGAGAACGCGAUCAUGCUUAAGCGGUUCAAUCGGUACCCCCUAAUAAUCGACCCAUCGGGACAAGCCACUGAGUUCAUUAUGCGCGAAUUCAAGGAGCGCAAGAUUACUAAGACAUCCUUCCUCGACGAUUCGUUCCGGAAGAAUUUGGAAUCGGCUCUCCGUUUCGGUAACCCGUUACUAGUACAGGACGUCGAGAACUACGACCCGAUCUUGAACCCAGUACUGAACAGAGAGCUGCGUCGUACAGGAGGUCGUGUGCUCAUCACGCUUGGAGACCAGGAUAUUGAUCUCAGCCCCUCAUUUGUCAUCUUCUUGAGUACUAGGGACCCGACGGUCGAAUUUCCACCGGACAUGUGUUCUCGCGUCACAUUCGUCAACUUCACGGUGACUCGCUCCUCGCUGCAGUCGCAGUGCUUGCAUCGCGUGCUCAAAGCUGAACGCCCUGACAUUGACACCAAACGCUCCGAUCUGCUCAAACUUCAAGGUGAAUUCCAUCUCCGACUACGGCAGCUAGAGAAAUCGCUGCUCCAAGCACUCAAUGAUGCGAAGGGCAAGAUCCUUGAUGAUGAUUCAGUUAUUGCAACACUUGAAACACUCAAAAAGGAAGCUGAUGACAUUGGUUUGAAGGUCGAGGAAACAGACAAAGUCAUUGCCGAAAUAGAAACCGUCAGUCAACAAUAUCUACCACUAUCCCAAGCGUGCAGCAGUAUAUAUUUCACAAUGGAGGCAUUGCACCAAGUCCACUUCUUAUACCAGUAUUCGCUGAAGAUGUUCCUCGACAUCUUCAGCACAGUGCUGGUGUCGCCAGUGCUGAAUGGAGUCACAGAUUACACCGCCCGACUGAUGACCAUCACUGAAGAAUUGUUCACGGCGGUGUACGAAAGGGUGGCACGAGGUAUGCUGCACACUGACAGGUUGACCUUCGCUUUGCUGCUGUGCCGCAUCCAGCUCAAGGGUACCGGCGCCGAAGAUACCCUCGACCAGCAGUUUGGAGUUUUCCUCCGCGGUCGAGAGGGUCACGUGGCAUCCACGCCACAACUCGAGUCGUUAACGCAGCAACAACAUGAAGCCGCUGCUAGACUUAGUUCCAGACUGGUGUCGUUCCGGCGCCUGCUGGACAAGGCGGCGUCGUUGCCCGAGCUGUCGGCGUGGCUGGCGCAGGCGGCGCCCGAGCAGUGCGUGCCCACGCUGUGGGACGGCGAGCCGUCCGCGCCGCCCAAGCCGCACACGCUGGCCAUGCACCGCCUGCUGCUUAUACAGGCCUUCAGACCGGACCGCGUGAUAGCAGCGGCGACUCAGCUGGUGGCGUCGGUGCUGGGGCCCAGCUUCAUGGCCCGGGCGGAGACGGAGUUCGACCUGGCCAGCAUCACGGAGAAUCAGCUCAAUGCCACCACGCCGGCGCUGCUGUGCUCCGUGCCUGGAUAUGAUGCUAGUGGUCGAGUGGACGAUAUGGCGACGGAACUGAACAAGCCGCUGUCGAGCAUUGCUAUCGGAUCCGCUGAAGGUUUCAACCAAGCUGAAAGAGCUAUUAACACGGCCUGUAAAACUGGACGUUGGGUGAUGCUGAAGAACGUCCACCUGGCGCCAGUGUGGCUGGUGCAGCUGGAGAAGAAGCUGCACUCGCUGCAGCCGCACCCGCAGUUCCGGCUGUUCCUCACCACGGAGAUCAGCCCCAAGCUGCCCGUCAACCUGCUGCGCGCCGGCCGCGUGCUGGUCUUCGAGCCGCCGCCCGGCAUCCGCGCCAACCUGCUGCGAACCUUCGCAACCGUGCCGGCAGCUCGAAUGAUGAAACAACCGUCUGAACGCGCCAGGCUUUACUUCCUACUUGCGUGGUUCCAUGGAAUCGUGCAGGAACGUCUCCGCUACGUGCCGCUGGGCUGGGCCAAGUACUACGAGUUCAACGAGAGCGACCUGCGCGUGGCGUGCGACACGCUCGACACGUGGAUCGAUGCCACUGCUAUGGGUCGCACCAACUUGCCUCCAGAGAAGGUCCCGUGGGAGGCGCUCGUGACAUUGCUGUCGCAGUGCAUCUACGGCGGCAAGAUUGACAACUUGUUCGACCAGCGCUUGUUGCACUCGUUCCUGUGCAAGCUGUUCACGCCGAGGUCAUUCGAAGCUGACUUUGCUCUUGUAGCCAACGUGGACGGUGCCUCUGGAAACCAGCGUCACAUCACGAUGCCGGACGGCAACCGCCGCGACCACUUCCUCAAGUGGAUCGAAGAGCUAUCCGACAGGCAGACGCCGUCGUGGCUGGGACUGCCCAACAAUGCUGAGAAGGUUCUACUAACAACCCAAGGGAGUGAUUUGGUGUCCAAACUAUUGAAGAUGCAACAACUCGAAGACGAAGAGGAGUUGGCUUAUAACGCCGCAAGUCAAGACCAUGAUCCAAAUUCGAUGGUAGUGGAAGGCGACGGGCGACCGGCGUGGAUGAAGACGUUGCACCAAACGUCUACCAGCUGGUUGCAGCUGUUGCCGCAGGAACUGCCGACCCUGCGGCGCACUGUGGAGAACAUCAAGGACCCUCUGUACCGGUUCUUUGAGCGCGAGGUGGCGGCCGGCGCGUCGCUGCUGCAGCAAGUGCUGCACGACCUGCGGAACGUCACCGCCAUAUGCCAGGGCUCCAUGAAGCAGACGAACGAGACGCGCUCGAUGGUGGGCGCGCUGGUGCGCGGCAUGCUGCCGGCGGGCUGGCGGCGCUACGCCGUGGCGCGCGGCUGCACCGUGCAGCAGUGGGUGGACGACUUCGCGCGCCGCGUGGCGCAGCUCGCGCACGUGUCGCGCACCGUCGCCGACAAGGGCGCCAAGCGGUUGCAGAGUAUCCCAGUGUGGUUAGGAGGUCUACUGAACCCCGAAGCGUACAUUACUGCGACCCGCCAGUGCGUGGCGCAGGCUAACUCCUGGUCACUCGAGGAGCUCAACCUACAGGUGACGAUCCCGGACCCCGGCGCGGCGGCGGAGAGCGCGCAGUCGGAGUGGUCGUUCUCGGUGACGGGGCUCAAGCUGCAGGGCGCCACGGUGAAGGGCAACCGCCUGCUGCUCACCAACACCAUCAUGGUGGACCUGCCGCUCACCGUGCUCACGUGGAUAAGAGGUGCGGAGCCGGCGAGCGCGGGGCAGACACUGACGCUGCCGGUGUACCUCAACAGCGCGCGCUCCGAGCUGCUGUUCACCGUGCGCCUGCCCAUCGCGGCCGGCCAGGAGCCGCACGCCUUCUACGAGCGCGGCGUCGCGCUGCUCACCUCCACCGCACUCAACUGAGCACUGCACCACUCACUCGACGCACUGUAGCACUCAUUUGAGCUACUACACUCAUCUGUGGUACUCGACGCACUGUAGCACUCAUUUGAACUACUUCACUCAUCUGUGGUACUCUUUUGAGCUACUUCACUCAUCUAUUGUAGUUGUUUGAACUACUUGACUUUUUACUACGAUACUCAUUAUAUCCGUUCUACCCAGGUUGUAUCCCUAGUGCUUAAAUAAAUAUGGAAAUGUAACAGUAUAAAAUUAUGAAAUAACAUAAUUCAGUACUCUCAAACUAAAUAGAGAAUAUUUAAUAUCGCUUGUUUUAUUAUUUAUUAUUGUACAUGUAAUAGAAAUGUUAUAAAAUAUUCGUCGCUCGUAUAUGAUUUAAGCAUAUAUAAUUUAUUAUUUACUCGCAAAAUAAA